rnacentral:rRNA from 1 species
GACGAACGCUGGCGGCGUGCUUAACACAUGCAAGUCGAACGAAAAGAGGGAAAGAGCUUGCUCUUUCCGGAAUUGAGUGGCAAACGGGUGAGUAACACGUAAACAACCUGCCUUCAGGAUGGGGACAACAGACGGAAACGACUGCUAAUACCGAAUAAGUUCCAAGGGCCGCAUGGCCCAUGGACGAAAAGGUGGCCUCUACCUGUAAGCUAUCGCCUGAAGAGGGGUUUGCGUCUGAUUAGCUGGUUGGAGGGGUAACGGCCCACCAAGGCGACGAUCAGGAGCCGGUCUGAGAGGAUGAACGGCCACACUGGAACUGAGACACGGGCCAGACUCCUACGGGAGGCAGCAGUGGGGGAUCUUCCGCAAUGGGCGAAAGCCUGACGGAGCAACGCCGCGUGAGUGAUGACGGCCUUCGGGUUGUAAAACUCUGUGAUCCGGGACGAAAAGGCAGAGUGCGAAGAACAAACUGCAUUGACGGUACCGGAAAAGCAAGCCACGGCUAACUACGUG